UGCCCAGCAACUCCUAUCCUUACCUCCUCGCGGUACCGGCCGGAAACUAUGAGCAACCUUAGGGAAGAUCGGGUAACCAACCCCGGUGGGAACUUUGGUCGCAGGCUGACAGGGAAGG
rnacentral:ribozyme from 1 species